rnacentral:lncRNA from 1 species
AAAACAUAGAAACUUAAUGCAUCUACUAAGACAAGUUCUUUCAUAAAACGUUAAUUUUUAAUAAGAAUAUAGAGAGUUAGAGAAUGAGAAUACAAACUAACCUUUAGAGCAUAAACUCCCUUUUUUUUUUCACUAAUGCAAUGAAACAAACAACAAACUAAAAGCUUCAGAUAGCUCCAAACCAGCAGUCACAACAGUAAAUCAGUAGCCCCGGUAACUCGAAACCAAGGAAUCCCAGUAGAAAACAGCAAAACAAAAUCCCAGAAACUAAUGCUUCAAACUAAAAGAAGUGACUUCUUCCUCUUUUUAUUGCUCUUUCCUGAAGAAAAAAAAGCUGCUGAAAUUUUUAUCUUUUUCCCUCUUUUUUCUGAUGUCUCCCCUUCUUAAAGUGAAAGAAAGACCCUCCCUUUAUAGAAGAGGGCAGCCUUGAAAGUGAUUCAAAGUUGCACCAAAAAUCGAUCCAAAAUCAUGAUAAAGGACUAUCCUUUUCACUAAAAUUAGACACAAGGGUACUUGUACCUCAAACCUACUCCAAAUAGUAAAAGGCAACAAACAUGUACCUUACACUCAAGUAUUUAGCUUUUAUCAACACAUGACUGAAAUUCAAGCAAAAACACUCAUACUCAAACCAACUAUGAAAAUGCAAAGCUAGGACAUGAAUUCAAUUGUAAUUGAACUAAGUACCCGAACGAACUAAACUAAAACUAAUCGAUUAAUGAGAACUAACAUUGGGCGAUUGAAAUAAGGAAACGCUGCCCAAAAAUACAACUUAAACGAACAUUGAUAAGCUAUCGAACAACGAUUAAUAGCAAUCCUAAACAAACGACUAAGUACCUGAUUCGAAAAUAUUAAGCAACGACCAACAUUAAAGAAUAUUAAUGAAAGUAAACACGAACUAAUGAUCACGGAUUAACAAUCAAUUGAAAACAGAAAAUUAAACUAAAACCUAAACUGAAAUUACGAAAAAAAGGGUAAAAGAUUAGGGUGCGAGCUUAUACCAAACUCCGGGACAUUCGACGAAUCGAGCAAUGAGACGAUGCCCUGGAUGCCAAGUGGUGGCUGUCCGACCCCGAGGCGCAUGUUUCUUUUUGGCAGACGAUAAACUAAUAGAUUCCGGCAUCUUGCCAAAAGGAAACAAGUGCCUUUGGUCGAAAAAGAAAUAAGAAAGAUGGAGAAGCAGCAGCGGCGGGCAGUGGGGGUUACCGGAGUUUCGGGUUAAGACCAAUGCCAAAUGAUAGCCCUUGUCUAGCUCUUUACGUCUAUGUAUGUGUUGGGCGAAGGGGAUGACUCAAUCCUCACGAACUUGAGGAAAGAUGGAAGGCUAGGGUUUCGGUUUUUGUGAGAUUUAUGGAUUUUGAUAGGGAGUUUGAGUAUUUGGGGUCUGCAUAUGAAAAGGGGGAAGUGAGGGGAAGAAGAUAUGUAAUUUUGAGGUGAUUUGGAGCCACCACUGCGGCGGCGGGCGGCAGCAGUGACGGUGGAGAUGGGUGGUGCGGCGGCCAAAGGGGAAAGGAAAGGGGCUCUAGGGCUUGGUUGAAGUAAAAA